UACGGUCAUAUCACGUUGCAACAUCGGUUCUCGUACGAUCACCGAAGUUAAGCGACGUGGAUCCUGGUCUGUACCUGGAUGAUUGACCGCUUAGGAAUAGCAGGUGUUGUAA